rnacentral:tRNA from 1 species
GGGGAUUUAGCUCAGUGGUAGAGUGCUUGCCUAGCAAGCACAAGGCCCUGGGUUCGGUCCCCAGCUCCCA